rnacentral:rRNA from 1 species
UCCUACGGGAGGCAGCAGUGAGGAAUUUUCCGCAAUGGGCGAGAGCCUGACGGAGCAAUGCCGCGUGGAGGAUGAAGGCCCGUGGGUUGUAAACUCCUUUUCUCAGAGAAGAAGCCCUGACGGUAUCUGAGGAAUAAGCAUCGGCUAACUCCGUGCCAGCAGCCGCGGUAAUACGGAGGAUGCAAGCGUUAUCCGGAAUCAUUGGGCGUAAAGGGUCCUGAGGUGGCCUGCCCAGUCCGCUGUGAAAGAUCAGGGCUCAACCCUGAAUAUGCGGUGGAAACUAGCAGGCUAGAAUACGGUAGGGGCAGGGGGAAUUCCCGGUGUAGCGGUGAAAUGCAUAGAUAUCGGGAAGAACACCAACGGCGAAGGCACCCUGCUGGGCCGAUAUUGACACUGACAGACGAGAGCUAGGGGAGCGAAUGGGAUUAGAUACCCCAGUAGUCCUAGCCGUAAACGAUGGAUACCAAGUGCUGAACGACUCAAAACGUGCAGUGCUGCAGCUAACGCGCUAAGUAUCCCGCCUGGGGAGUAUGCCCGCAAGGGUGAAACUCAAAUGAAUUGACGGGG